rnacentral:lncRNA from 1 species
GUAGAUGGAGUAGGAGGAUGAGCAGCAGCAACAAAUGAACCUGAUAGUGAAGAAGCACCUGAUGACCAGAACUCGUUCAAGUGCUCUUUAGUCCUUCCAAAGCAAGGUCUUGAUGUCCCCCUUACAGAAAAUGUUCAUAUAUGUUCCUGCAUGAUGCGUGUGUGCAUGUUGGAUGGUCACAAUCUAGUGUACUAGCUAGCUAGUAAGCUUGUUUUGCUACCGGAUGAUUGAAUGUCAUCUCAGUUUGUACCUCAUCUAGCUCACCACCUCAAAUUGCCACUGUUUGGUUAGUGUUUCCUUCUUGGUUGGCUAAACAUAUCUGUUUGUUUAAUUAGGAGCAUUAGACUCUCUCCAUCGAUGAUUGCCUAAUUUUAUUCAUGGUCUGCACAAUAUAUUCAUUUGAUUGUCUGCUACAUCUCCACUUAAAUACUCAUAAUGCUACUGUCCAGCCUUUUUUCAAUUGGACUGACUAUAUAUCUCUUGUUGAAAUUGUGCUCUUGAUCUUUUGUUUAAACCUGGGACAUCAUGCAUAUCUAGCUCUUCCUUUUCAGUCUAAACCUGAGACCUCUUUUGUUUUCAGUCACACUGCUGUUUUGCUGUGCUUGAUAAACCUGAGACUUCUUUCUAUUGUAAUAUCGAAGUUGUUUGGUUCUGGCCUCAACACUAAGUACACUAAUAUUGAAGUUGUUCACUCUUUUACAGGAGCUUUGGGCCUAAUUUAUUUGGAGUGUGAAGCCAUGAAGCCAAGUGCGAAUCAGUGAAGCCCUACUUAGCAAAGAGUUUUUUUGGUUCUGUAGUAGACUGUAAAUUGUAAUAUUGUAUCAGAUUGUAAAAGACUAAUUUAGUGUUAUUUGAUGAAUUAUAUUUGUCCCGUCCUAUUUGAAA